AUCUGAAGGUGGCAAUUCAGAGCUGGCAUGGCAAUUCCAUGUUCAUCAGGGACCCAGAAUUCUUCAUAUUUCUGCUCCUGCAUUUCCUACACUUGGUUCGCUUUCUCAAAGUCACCUCAUAGUUCAAACUGCUGCUGGAUAUCCAGUCAUUACAGCCAUUUUCCAGGAUGAUUAACCCUGAGCUAACAUCUACUGCCCAUCCUCCUUUCUUUGCUGAGGAAGACGGGCCGGGAGCUAACAUCUGUGCCCAUCUUCCUCUAUUUUAUAUGUGGGAUGCCUGCCACAGCAUGGCUUGACAAGUGGUGCAUAGGUCCACACCCAGGAUCCGAACAGGUAAAAUCUGGGCUGCAGAAGUGGAAUGUGAGAACUUAACUGCUGUGCCACUUGGCUGGCCCCUAAAGGUAAUUUUCCUGAAGUGUUUUAUGUUAUUGCUUGCAUGAUUAUGCUUUUGUUGUAGUUGUAUACUACUCCAUUGUGUGGGUAUAGCACAUUUUAUUUAUGUAUUCACUUAUGAGCAUUUUUCCUGCUUCCAGUUCUUGGCUGUUAUGAAUAAAGCUGCUAUGAUCAUUCAGGCAUAAUUUAUAUAGAUAUCCUUUUUCCUGUUUCUUGCAUAAAUACUUAGGAGUGGGAUUGCUGGGAAAAAUGGUAGGUGUAUGUUUAACAUUAUAAGAUGAUGCCACAAUGUUUUCUAAAGUGGUUGUGACAUUUUGGAAUUCCCGUAUUCCAGUUGUUCCACAUCCUUGCCUAUGCUUGAUAUUAUAGGUCUUUCAGAUUUUAGCCAUUCUAGUGGUUCUAAUGGGUAUGAGGUAAUAUCUCAUUGUGAUUUUCAUACACAUUUCUGUGAUGGCUAACGCUGUUGAGCAGGUUUUCAUGUGGAUGUAAGCCAAUUAUAUAUCUUUUGUGAAAUGUCAUCCAUGUCUUUGCUAUAUUUUUGUAGAGUUGUUUGUCUUCUAAUUGUUGACUUGAAAGAAUUUUGGCUAUUUUAGAGAGUUGCAUUCAUAUAAAGUUUAGUCACUUUGUCACUUGUUAUAAAAGCUUGCUAGAAUUAUAAUAGGGAUGGAAUUGGCUUUAUAGGUCAACUUGGGGAAUCUGGACUUUUAGCAAUAGUGAGUUUUUCCAUUAAUAGCUAUGACAGAACUCUCCAUUUAUUUAGGUCUCAUUUUUUCUCGGCUAUGUCUGUAGUGUUUAGUUUAGAGGUCCUGCAUAUAUUGUUAAAUUUAUUUUCAAUUAUUUUCUUUUUAAUACUGUUUUAGAUAGUAUUUUUAUUUCUUUCUCCAGUUACUUGUUACUACUAUAUAUAGAAAUACAAUCCUUUUAUUUUAUAUUAGCCAUAUGUCCUGUGGCCUUGAUAAACUUACCUAUUAAUCUUAGUAGAUUUUUUUUGGUAGAUUCCUUAGAAUACACACACACACACACACACACACACAGAUUUUUUUCAAUAUAUAUUCUUUUAUAUAUGUCUUUUACUUAUUUUUCUUUAAUACACUUGCUAGGAUCUCUAGUAACAUGUGGAAAAGAUACAGUGAAAAUUUACAUUCUUGCCUUGUUCCCAAUCAUAGAGGGAAAGUAUUUAGUUUUUCACCAUUAUAUAUGAUACCAGCUACAAGUUUUCAUAGAUACCUUUAUCAGGUUGAGAAAGUUUUAUUGUAUUCCUAAUUUUCUGAGUUUUUUGUCAUGAAUGGGUGUUGACUUUGAUCAAUUUUCACCUUUAUUUUCUUUAUAUCUGCCUUCCUUAUAUAAAGCCUACAUGAUCUUAAAAUAGGACGCUUUUUAUAUUUUGCUGAAUUGGAUUUGCUUAUAUUUUUUUAAGGAGUCAUGCACUUAUUGGUCUAUGAUUUUUCCUCUCUAAUAAUGUCCUUGCCAGUUUUCUCUAUCAGAACCUCAUAGAAUGGGAAAACAUCAUUAUUCCUCUGCAUUUUAAGGGAGUUUGUGAAAGAUUGGUGUUACUUCUUCCUUAAAUAUUUGGGAUUCAUCAAAGAGACUAUGUAAGUCUGUGCUUUCCUUCAAGGGAAGAUUUUGAUUAUGAAUUCAAUUUAUUUACUAUGUUAUAUAUAUUAACUGUAUCAAUAAUAUGACUAUUCAGAUUUUCUAUUUCUAUUCAGUUCAAUUUUGAUAGCAUUUUCUAGGAAUUUAUUAAUUUAUCAAAUUUGGCAUCCAUUUAUUCAUAAAAUUCCCAUAUUAUUCUCUUAAUAUCUGUAGUUUCUGGAGUAAUAAACUCACUUUUAUCCCUAAUAUUUUGAAUUUGUGUUUUUCUCUCUAUAUUUUUAACUUGAUUGGCCUUGUAAGUUGAAUAGUGUCCCCCCAAAAUUCAUGUCUACCUAGAACUUCUGAAUGUGACGCUAUUUGGAAUAAGCAUCUUUGAAGAUGUAAGUAAGGCAAGGAUCUCAAGACAAGAUCAUCCUGGAUUGGGGUGGGCUGUAAAUCCAAUGUUAGUGACCCAGCAAAAGAAAGAAAAGGAGAAGACAGACACAGAGGAAAAAGCCAUGUGAAGUUGGAGGCAGAGAUUGGAGAGCAGCAACCAGGCAAGGAAUACCGAAAAUUGCCAGCAGCCACCAGAAACAAGGAGGCAUGGAAUAAUUCUCCCUCAGAGAAUUCAGAAAGAACCAAAUCUAUUGACACCUAGAUUUUGAACUUUUGGCCUCUAGAAUUGUGAGAGAAAUUUAUGUUGUGUUAAACUGCCCAGUUUGUGGUAAUUUAUUAUGGUAGCCCUAGGAAAUUAAUAUCCUUGCAAGGUGUUAAUUUUACUAAUCACUUUAGAGCACCAAUAGUUGCUUUUAUUAAUUUUCUUUAAUGUUUAUUUUCUAUUUAAUUUCUGCUCUGACGUUUAUUUUUUCCCAACUUAUUUUGGGCUUAAUUUUUCUAGUAUUUUUUUUUUUUUUUGAGGAAGAUUAGCCCUGAGCUAACAUCUGCUGCCAAUCCUCCUCUUUUUGCAGAAGAAGAUUGGCCCUGAGCUAACAUCCAUGUCCAUCUGCCUCUACUUUAUCUGUAGGACGCCUGCCACAGCGUGGCUUGAUAAGCAGUGUGUAGGCCCACAUUUGGGAUCCAAACCGGCGAACCCAGGGCCACUGAAGCAGAAUGUGCAAACUUAACAACUACACCACCGAGCCAGCCCCAAAUUUUUCCAGUUUUUUAAGGUGGAAACUUAGAUCAUUAUUUACAAACCUUUCAUCUUUUCUACUAUAACCAUUUAAAACUAUAAAUUUCCCUCUAAACACUGCAUUCCACAUAUUUUGGCACGUUUUUAUUAUUAUUUUGAAAUUUAUUGUAACUUCUCUUGUUACUUUUUGAAUCAUAGGUUAUACAGAAGUGAGGCAUUUAAUUUAAAAAUAUUUAGGGGGUUUCUAUAUAUGUUACAGUAAUUUCUAAUUCAAUUCCAUUUAGGUCAGAUAACAAAUAUUAUAUAUAGUUUUCAUCUUUUGAAGUUUCAGACAUUUUAUGACUUGUAUGGUUUGUCUUGAACAUUCCAAGUGCAAUUGAAAAAUACGUUUAAUCUAUAUUCGUUUUAGACGUAGUGUUGAAUAAACUCAAUUAGGUUGAUAAUGCUGUUCCAAUUUUCUUUAAUCAAUAGUAUCUCUAACUCUGAUUGUAGAUUUAUAUAUUUCUCCUUUUAGGUCAGCUAGAUUUUCAUGAAUUUUAAGGAUGUUGUUAUCUUUUCCUGCUUAUCUAAUUUAUCGUUAUGAAAUGAACCUCUUAAUCCUUGAUAAUGUUUCUUAUUCCAUGGUCUACCUUUUUGGUAUUAAUAUAGCCACAG
ensembl:lncRNA